ensembl:rRNA 5S_rRNA 5S ribosomal RNA
CGCAGCCAAUGCUACGCUGCUGGCCAAGAACAUGUCAGAUUUCACUAGCUAAGCAAUGCGGGGUAUGGUCAGUACUUGGUUGGGAGACCUCCAAGGAAAACUCAGGUGCUGUAG